rnacentral:rRNA from 1 species
AGGACGAACGCUGGCGGCGUGCCUAAUACAUGCAAGUCGAACGGUCUUUCUAUGGAAGCUUGCUCCACUGAGAAGAUAGUGGCGGACGGGUGAGUAACACGUGGGUAACCUGCCCAUAAGAGGGGGAUAACAUCCGGAAACGGGUGCUAAUACCGCAUAGUUUUCUUGAUCGCAUGAUCGGGAAAGGAAAGACGGCCUUUGUGCUGUCGCUUAUGGAUGGACCCGCGGCGUAUUAGUUAGUUGGUGAGGUAACGGCUCACCAAGACGAUGAUACGUAGCCGACCUGAGAGGGUGAUCGGCCACAUUGGGACUGAGACACGGCCCAAACUCCCACGGGAGGCAGCAGUAGGGAAUCUUCCGCAAUGGACGAAAGUCUGACGGAGCAACGCCGCGUGAGUGAAGAAAGGUUUUCGGAUCGUAAAACUCUGUUGUCAGAGAAGAACAAGUUGGAGAGUAACUGCUCCAGCCUUGACGGUAUCUGACCAGAAAGCCACGGCUAACUACGUGCCAGCCGCCGC